UGGGGAAUCUUGCGCAAUGGACGAAAGUCUGACGCAGCGACGCCGCGUGGGGGAUGACGGCUUUCGGGUUGUAAACCCCUGUUGCCCGGGACGAACUUCCUGUUUCGACAGGAUUGACGGUACCGGGUGAGGAAGCACCGGCUAACUCUGUGCCAGCAGCCGCGGUAAUACAGAGGGUGCGAGCGUUGUCCGGAAUCACUGGGCGUAAAGGGCGCGUAGGUGGCGCGACAAGUCGGUGGUGAAAGUUCGACGCUUAACGUCGAAUCGGCCACCGAUACUGUUGGGCUGGAGCACUGUAGAGGCUCAUGGAAUUCCGGGUGUAGCGGUGGAAUGCGUAGAGAUCCGGAAGAACACCGGUGGCGAAGGCGGUGAGCUGGGCAGUUGCUGACACUGAGGCGCGACAGCGUGGGGAGCAAACAG
rnacentral:rRNA from 1 species